UCCCUCAGUAGCUGCGAGCGAACAGGGAAGAGCCCAGCGCCGAAUUCCGCGCCCGAAAGGGCGUUCGGAACAUGUGGSGUUUAGGAGGAAUCUCUUCGGAGGCAGACGGUGUCCCAAGUCCCCCUGAACGGGGCUGUGAUCCAGAGCGGGUGCGAGGCCCAUAGCGCAACCCGUUGGAGCCCCGCAGCCAUAAGGGAGAGACUUCGGAAGGUAGCCAGUGAGUUCUUCUUCGGAGGCGCAAGCUGGUCCUAAGCCCCCUCUCCUGGUGCUUGGGCCCGACGGUGGUCUUGAGUCCCUCCACGGGACGUUGCCGGGCCCUUCUCGAACGAGCGGGAACGCACGGCAAGCUGUCCUCCGCGACCCAAAAUCGGUCGCUCCACGCGUGCAGUGGACGACCUUCGGAGGCAGCUGCUGGAACGUGCGACUCCUGCGCUGGGCACAGGCAGUGGGUCUUGAACAAGCCCAAAGGCGCAAUGAAAGUGAAGACCGGCAUUGAAGUCUGUGGAGUUGGGAAACCGGGCCGCUGAUGGCCCGGUUGCACCAACGGCCCGUCCCGUCCGCAUCGUCUGUGGGGCGGAGCGAGAGCGUACACGUUGGGACCCGAAAGAUGGUGAACUAUGCCCGUCAGACCCGGGUAUAGGGGCGAAAGACUAAUCGAACCAUCUAGUAGCUGGUUCCCUCCGAAGUUUCCCUCAGGAUAGCUGGCGUUCGAGGGAGAUCAGUCUCAUCCGGUAAAGCGAAUGAUUAGAGGCCUUGGGGCCGAAACGACCUCAACCUAUUCUCAAACUUUAAAUGGGUGAGAAGUCCGGCUUGCCCGACCGAAGCCCGGACGACAGGAUGAGAGCGCCCAGUGGGCCACUUUUGGUAAGCAGAACUGGCGCUGUGGGAUGAACCAAACGCCGGGUUACGGCGCCCGAUGCGAGACGCUCAUGAGACCCCAUGAAAGGUGUUGGUUGCUAUUGACAGCAGGACGGUGGCCAUGGAAGUCGGAAUCCGCUAAGGAGUGUGUAACAACUCACCUGCCGAAGCAACUAGCCCUGAAAAUGGAUGGCGCUCCAGCGUCGAGCCCAUACCCGGCCGCCGCGGCAGAUGCUGUAGAGGCUUAUGCCGCGGUGAGUAGGAGGGUCGCAGUGGCGUGCGUUGAAGGUGCCGGGCGUAAGCCCGCCUGGAGCCGCCACUGGUGCAGAUCUUGGUGGUAGUAGCAAAUACUCAAGUGAGAACCUUGAGGACUGAGGUGGAGAAGGGUUCCAUGUGAACAGCAGUUGAACAUGGGUCAGUCGGUCCUAAGGAAUAGGAGAAGUCCGUUCCGAAGCGGGACACUUAUUUGACGGAUAAGUCCCGCCCACUGACCGAAAGGGAAUCGGGUUAAUAUUCCCGAACCCGGACAAGGAGAUCGGCCCCUCGGGGUCAAGUGCGGUAACGCAACUGAACUCUGAGAAGUCGACGGGAGUCCCGGAGAGAGUUUUCUUUUCUUUGUAAGGGUUUGGCUCCCUGGAAUCGGUUCGUCCGGAGAUAGGGAUGCUAUCCCCGUAAAGCAUCGCGCCUCCUGCGGUGUCCGGAGCGCUCCUGUCGGCCCUUGAAAAUCAGAGGGAGAGAGUGUGAUUUUCUUGCCGGACCGUACCCAUAUCCGCAGCAGGUCUCCA
rnacentral:rRNA from 1 species